AUUGAACGCUGGCGGCAGGCCUAACACAUGCAAGUCGAGCGAGCGGCGGACGGGUGAGUAAUGUAUGGGGACUGCCCGAUCGAGUGGGAUAACUACUGGAAACGGUAGCUAAUACCGCAUCCUAUCGGAUAACCCAUAUGGGAUUGGUUAGUAGGUGAGGUAAUGGCUCACAUAGGCGACGAUCCCUAGCUGGUCUGAGAGGCUGAUCCGCAACACUGGAACGGAGAAAAGGCCCAGACUCCGACGGAGGCAGCAGUGGGGAAUAUUGCAAAAUGGGCGCAAGCCUGAUGCAGCCAUGCCGCGUGUAUGAAGAAGGCCCUAGGGUUGUAAAGUACUUUCAGUCGGGAGGCGUUACCGACAGAAGAAGCACCGGCUAACUCCGUGCCAGCAGCCGCGGUAAUAC
rnacentral:rRNA from 1 species